rnacentral:sRNA from 1 species
UUGUAGCCCUGAUAGCAACGAAAAUCCUUGUUUGCCGGGUUUCGGCAAGCAAGAUUGUAGUGUAUAGCAGGUGCUGUG